CUACGGGUCGCUCCAGUGGGGAAUAUUGGACAAUGGGGGAAACCCUGAUCCAGCAAUGCCGCGUGUGUGAAGAAGGCCUGCGGGUUGUAAAGCACUUUCGGUUGGGAGGACUGCUUCUAGCACUAAUAUUGUUGGAAGUUGACGUUACCUUCAGAAGAAGCACCGGCUAGCUCCGUGCCAGCAGCCGCGGUAAUACGGAGGGUGCAAGCGUUAAUCGGAAUUACUGGGCGUAAAGCGCGCGUAGGCGGCUAGAUCAGUCGGGUGUGAAAGCCCCGGGCUUAACCUGGGAACUGCAUCCGAUACUGUCUAGCUUGAGUACAGGAGAGGAGAGUGGAAUUCCACAUGUAGCGGUGAAAUGCGUAGAUAUGUGGAGGAACACCAAUGGCGAAGGCAGCUCUCUGGCCUGAUACUGACGCUGAGGUGCGAAAGCGUGGGGGGCAAACAGGAUUAGAUACCCCCGUAGUC
rnacentral:rRNA from 1 species